GACCUUUAGUACGGCGAGUGAAGCGGCAAAAGCUCAAAUUUGAAAUCUGGUACCUUCGGUGCCCGAGUUGUAAUUUGGAGAGGGCAACUUUGGGGCCGUUCCUUGUCUAUGUUCCUUGGAACAGGACGUCAUAGAGGGUGAGAAUCCCGUGUGGCGAGGAGUGCGGUUCUUUGUAAAGUGCCUUCGAAGAGUCGAGUUGUUUGGGAAUGCAGCUCUAAGUGGGUGGUAAAUUCCAUCUAAAGCUAAAUAUUGGCGAGAGACCGAUAGCGAACAAGUACAGUGAUGGAAAGAUGAAAAGAACUUUGAAAAGAGAGUGAAAAAGUACGUGAAAUUGUUGAAAGGGAAGGGCAUUUGAUCAGACAUGGUGUUUUGUGCCCUCUGCUCCUUGUGGGUAGGGGAAUCUCGCAUUUCACUGGGCCAGCAUCAGUUUUGGUGGCAGGAUAAAUCCAUAGGAAUGUAGCUUGCCUCGGUAAGUAUUAUAGCCUGUGGGAAUACUGCCAGCUGGGACUGAGGACUGCGACGUAAGUCAAGGAUGCUGGCAUAAUGGUUAUAUGCCGCCCGUCUUGAAACCCGGAACACA
rnacentral:rRNA from 1 species